rnacentral:rRNA from 1 species
UGGGGAAUAUUGCACAAUGGGCGAAAGCCUGAUGCAGCAACGUCGCGUGAGGGACGACGGCCUUCGGGUUGUAAACCUCUUUAGCUAAGGAAGAAGCGAAAGUGACGGUACUUGCAGAAAAAGCGCCGGCUAACUACGUGCCAGCAGCCGCGGUAAUACGUAGGGCGCAAGCGUUAUCCGGAAUUGAUUGGGCGUAAAGAGCUCGUGGCGGUUUGUCGCGUCUGCUGUGAAAAACCCCGGGUCAACCUCGGGCCUGCAGUGGGUACGGGCAGACUAGAGUGCGGUAGGGGAGAUUGGAACUCCUGGUGUAGCGGUGGAAUGCGCAGAUAUCAGGAAGAACACCGAUGGCGAAGGCAGAUCUCUGGGCCGUAACUGACGCUGAGGAGCGAAACGGGUGGGGAGCAAACAGGCUUAGAUACCCUGGUAGU